rfam:Trachymyrmex zeteki contig2661, whole genome shotgun sequence.
GCUGCGGUGUCCGAGCGGUUAAGGAGAUGGACUUGAAAUCCAUUGGGUUCUACCCGCACAGGUUCGAAUCCUGUCCGCAGCG